UACGAAGGGGGCAAGCGUUGUUCGGAAUUAUUGGGCGUAAAGGGAGCGUAGGCGGUUCGUCGCGUCGGCUGUGAAAACCCGGAGCUCAACUCCGGGCCUGCAGUCGAUACGGGCGGACUUGAGUUCGGCAGGGGAGACUGGAAUUCCUGGUGUAGCGGUGAAAUGCGCAGAUAUCAGGAGGAACACCGGUGGCGAAGGCGGGUCUCUGGGCCGAUACUGACGCUGAGGAGCGAAAGCGUGGGGAGCGAACAGG
rnacentral:rRNA from 1 species